AGUCCAAGCUUCCUCAUGAAGAGGAUCACAUCAAGAGUGAAGCCAAAGGCACAGGAAGCACAGCUGGAAUGGGGACAUAGGAACGCGGGGGCUCCCAUGAGUUGACCGGACAACUGAGAGAUGGCAACCUAGACCUGGGGUUCUGCAGUCUAUACAAGAAGCAUGAUGCUGGCAUCCACUUGGCUUCUGGGGAGGCCUCAGGAAACUUACAGUCAUGAUGGAGGAUGAAAGGGCAGCAGGCACAUCACACGGCCAGAGCAGGAGCAAGAGAGAGAAAGAAAAGGCCAUCUAAAAUUUAUAUGGAAUCUCAAGGAACGCUGAAUAGCAACAACAAUAUUGAAUGAAAAUAAACCUGGAGGACUCAAAAUUCCUUAUUUCAAAACUCACUACAAAUAUACAGUAAUUAAAAUACUGUGCUACUGGCAUAAAGACAGACAUAUAGAGCAAUGGAAUAGAAUAAAAACCCAGAAAUAAACCACCACUCAUAUGAACAAAUGAUUUUUAACAAGAAUGCCAAGACCAUUUAAUGAGAAAAUAACAGUUUUUCAACAAAUGAUGCUGGGAAAGCUGGAUGUUCGCAUGCAAAACAAAACAAACAAAAAAAUGAAGUUGAAUCCUUACCUAACACCAUAUGCAAAACAAAAUGAAUCAAAGUUCAAAACAUAAGACAUAAGCCUAUAAAACUCUUAGAAGAAAAUCUAGGUCAAAGUCUUUCCAACACUGGAUUUGGCAGUAAUGUCUUGUAUGUGACAUCAAAAGCACAAGCAACAAGAAAAAAAAUGUAGAGAAAUGUGGACUUCAUAAAAAUUGAAAAACGUGCACCAAAAAAACACUAUCAACAAAGUGAAAAGGUAACCCAUAAAUUGGACAAAAAUUGCAAAUCGUGUAUCUGGUAAGUUACGGAAAUCAAGAAUAUAUAGAGAUCUUCUAAAACCCAAUAACAAAAUCCAAUUCAAAUAUGAGCAAAAUAUUUGAAUGGACAUUUCUCUAAAGAUAUGCAGAUGAUCCAUAAGAAAAUUGAAAGAUGUUCAACCUCAUGAUCAUUAUAUAAAUACAAAUCAAAACGACAAUAAAAUAUCAACACACCCAUUAGAAUAGUUAUUAUCAAAAAUUAAAAAAACAGAAAAUGAGUGUUGGCAAGGAUGUUGUAAAAAACUUUGAAAACUUGUGCACUGGAAAUAAAAAUAAUACAGCUGCUAUGGAAAACAGUAUGCUGCCUAAAAAAAUAAAAAUAAAAUUGCCACACAAUCCAGCAAUUCCAUUUUUGUGUAUAUACCGAAAAGUAUUACCAACAGGCUCUCAAAGAGAUAUUUGCACACCCACAUUCAUAGCACCAAUAUUCAUUACAGCUAAAAUGUAAAGCAACCCAAGUAUCCAUUCGUAGAAUGGAUAAGGCAAAUGUGGUAUAUACAUACAACAAGAAAUUAUUCAGCCUUAAGAAGGAAGGAAAUUCCGACACAUUCUAUAACUAUGAUGAAUCUUGGAAACAUUAUUGGUAAGUGAAAUAAAUCAGGAACAAAAAGACCAAUCCUGCAUGAUUGCAUUUAUAUAAAGUAGAAUAGUCAACGUCACAGAGAUAAAGUAGAAUAUUGGUUACCAGGAGCUGUUGGGACAGGGAAAUUGGAAGUUACAGUUUAAUGGACACAGUUUUAGUUUUGCAAGAAGAAAGGGUUAUGGAGAUUGAUGUUAGUGAUUGCUGAACAAUGUCAUGUAUAUUUAAAACCA
rnacentral:lncRNA from 1 species